rnacentral:rRNA from 1 species
UACAGAGGGUGCGAGCGUUGUUCGGAAUUAUUGGGCGUAAAGGGCGCGUAGGCGGUGCGGUAAGUCACCUGUGAAAUCUCCUGGCUCAACUGGGAGCUUGCAGGCGAAACUGCCGUGCUGGAGUGUGGGAGAGGUGCGUGGAAUUCCCGGUGUAGCGGUGGAAUGCGUAGAUAUCGGGAGGAACACCUGUGGCGAAAGCGGCGCACUGGACCACAACUGACGCUGAGGCGCGAAAGCUAGGGGAGCAAACAGG